UAAAACAUUUCAGAUCAAACACAGUAAGCAAAGAGCACAAAAGGAAUAUCUUAUCAGGAAAUCCAACAAAUCCGGUUCAAACAAUCAAAUCAAUAGUCAUGCCAUGUUUUAGAAGGAGAACGCAGUUCACCUACUACAAGUGCACUCCAGAACAGACUUAAGCCACAUGAUCAUCAUUCAGCGACAGCUCAGCCAAUUGAUCGGCAGGGUUACUGGCUUGUUGCUGUAGAGAAACACUCCUCAAGACCUCCAUAGCUUCCUCGACCUUGGCCCUAAGAGCUUCUGGUGAUUCUAGCAAGUGCAGAACCUCGGUCUGAUCCAUCUCUAGGAGCAUUCCAGUAACCUUUGCAGAAGAUUCAGGUUCUAACUGUUCAACCAGCGGGUACAGACUUUCCCCUAGCAUCUACAAAACACAAACAAACAAUUAUGCCCUUAAUCAGCAGAUUAUGUUGUGCUCUAAAAUUAUGCACUAGGACAAAAGGAGAAGUCAACCUACUAAUAUCAUUGUCAAUAUAUAAUAUGUUCACGCUAAAAACAUUGGUAUUUAUAAGUUUCAGUUUCUUUUGGUACGUGUAACUUAAGCUAACCAGAAGUUGGCAUCCUAGAAGUCGAAAUAAAUAAAAAGUCAAAGGCUUUAAGUGCAGAAUGGGUUAAUAAACAAUUGUAUCUUUGCAAGGGCAAAUUUAGAAUAUCUUUCAAUUGACAUCCAUUAAGAAAGUGUUAUGCAAAAAAAGGGCGUACCGUUCGCUGCUCUGCAGGUGAAGCAUUUGCAAGAAGUGAGGCUAGAGCCCCAACUGGAACAGAAGGCAGAGGUGUUUCCUGCUGCAUAUGCAUGGCACCAAUAUCAUAUGCCAUACCAGCAUCUGGGGUUCCACGUGGUGGUUGGUAGCGGUAGCCGCGACCCCUU
rnacentral:lncRNA from 1 species